rnacentral:rRNA from 1 species
AGUGAACGCUGGCGGUAGGCCUAACACAUGCAAGUCGAACGGCAGCACAGUAAGAGCUUGCUCUUACGGGUGGCGAGUGGCGGACGGGUGAGGAAUACAUCGGAAUCUACUUUUUCGUGGGGGAUAACGUAGGGAAACUUACGCUAAUACCGCAUACGACCUACGGGUGAAAGCAGGGGAUCUUCGGACCUUGCGCGAUUGAAUGAGCCGAUGUCGGAUUAGCUAGUUGGCGGGGUAAAGGCCCACCAAGGCGACGAUCCGUAGCUGGUCUGAGAGGAUGAUCAGCCACACUGGAACUGAGACACGGUCCAGACUCCACGGGAGGCAGCAGUGGGGAAUAUUGGACAAUGGGCGCAAGCCUGAUCCAGCCAUACCGCGUGGGUGAAGAAGGCCUUCGGGUUGUAAAGCCCUUUUGUUGGGAAAGAAAAGCAGCAGGUUAAUACCCCGCUGUUCUGACGGUACCCAAAGAAUAAGCACCGGCUAACUUCG